GCCCGUGUUCUCAGUGGUUAGAGCAUUGGCCUGUACACCAAAAGGUCAUGGGUUCAAUUCCCAGUCAAGGGCA
rnacentral:tRNA from 1 species